rnacentral:tRNA from 1 species
GCAUUGGUGGCUCAGUGGUAGAAUUCUCGCCUGCCACGCGGGAGACCCGGUUUUCGAUUCCCGGCCAAUGCA